rnacentral:rRNA from 1 species
CGUAGGUAACCUGCCUGGUAGCGGGGGAUAACAUUGGAAACGAUAGCUAAUACCGCAUAACAGUCGACAUUGCAUGAUGUUGAUUUGAAAGGGGCAAUUGCUCCACUACCAGAUGGACCUGCGUUGUAUUAGCUAGUUGGUGAGGUAACGGCUCACCAAGGCGACGAUACAUAGCCGACCUGAGAGGGUGAUCGGCCACACUGGGACUGAGACACGGCCCAG